CCUACGGGAGGCAGCAGUGGGGAAUUUUGGACAAUGGGCGCAAGCCUGAUCCAGCCAUGCCGCGUGUGGGAAGAAGGCCUUCGGGUUGUAAACCACUUUUGUCGGGGAAGAAACGGCCUUUACUAAUAUUAGGGGCUAAUGACGGUACCUGAAGAAUAAGCACCGGCUAACUACGUGCCAGCAGCCGCGGUAAUACGUAGGGUGCAAGCGUUAAUCGGAAUUACUGGGCGUAAAGCGUGCGCAGGCGGCUUUGCAAGACAGAUGUGAAAUCCCCGGGCUCAACCUGGGAACUGCAUUUGUGACUGCAUGGCUAGAGUACGGUAGAGGGGGAUGGAAUUCCGCGUGUAGCAGUGAAAUGCGUAGAUAUGCGGAGGAACACCGAUGGCGAAGGCAAUCCCCUGGACCUGUACUGACGCUCAUGCACGAAAGCGUGGGGAGCAAACAGGAUUAGAUACCCUGGUAGUCCAACGCCCUAAACGAUGUCAACUGGUUGUUGGACGGCUUGCUGUUCAGUAACGAAGUCUAACGCGUGAGUUGACCGCCGUGGGAGUCGGCCGCGUUAAGGUUAGAAACUUACGAAAGGUAAGUUGGACCGGNGNGAGACGCGACGACGGACGACGACGAGGGAGGAGG
rnacentral:rRNA from 1 species